GAUGAACGCUGGCGGCGUGCUUAACACAUGCAAGUCGAACGAAGCACUUAUCUUUGAAUCUUCGGAUGAAGAGGUUUGUGACUGAGUGGCGGACGGGUGAGUAACGCGUGGGUAACCUGCCUCAUACAGGGGGAUAACAGUUAGAAAUGACUGCUAAUACCGCAUAAGACCACGGAGCCGCAUGGCUCAGUGGGAAAAACUCCGGUGGUAUGAGAUGGACCCGCGUCUGAUUAGGUAGUUGGUGGGGUAACGGCCUACCAAGCCAACGAUCAGUAGCCGACCUGAGAGGGUGACCGGCCACAUUGGGACUGAGACACGGCCCAAACUCCUACGGGAGGCAGCAGUGGGGAAUAUUGCACAAUGGGGGAAACCCUGGUGCAGCGACGCCGCGUGAGCGAAGAAGUAUUUCGGUAUGUAAAGCUCUAUCAGCAGGGAAGAAAAUGACGGUACCUGACUAAGAAGCACCGGCUAAAUACGUGCCAGCCGCCGCGGUAA
rnacentral:rRNA from 1 species